GAUGAACGCUGGCGGCGUGCCUAAUACAUGCAAGCCGAGCGAAUGGAUUAAGAGCUUGCUCUUAUGAAGUUAGCGGCGGACGGGUGAGUAACACGUGGGUAACCUGCCCAUAAGACUGGGAUAACUCCGGGAAACCGGGGCUAAUACCGGAUAAUAUUUUGAACUGCAUGGUUCAAAAUUGAAAGGCGGCUUCGGCUGUCACUUAUGGAUGGACCCGCGUCGCAUUAGCUAGUUGGUGAGGUAACGGCUCACCAAGGCAACGAUGCGUAGCCGACCUGAGAGGGUGAUCGGCCACACUGGGACUGAGAAACGGCCCAGACUCCUACGGGAGGCAGCAGUAGGGAAUCUUCCGCAAUGGACGAAAGUCUGACGGAACAACGCCGCGUGAGUGAUGAAGGCUUUCGGGUCGUAAAACUCUGUUGUUAGGGAAGAACAAGUGCUAGUUGAAUAAGCUGGCACCUUGACGGUACCUAACCAGAAAGCCACGGCUAACUACGUGCCAGCAGCCGCCGUAA
rnacentral:rRNA from 1 species